CCUACGGGUGGCAGCAGUGGGGGAUAUUGCACAAUGGGGGAAACCCUGAUGCAGCGACGCCGCGUGGGCGAAGAAGUAUUUCGGUAUGUAAAGCUCUAUCAGCAGGGAAGAAGAAAUGACGGUAACUGAGUCAGAAGCACCGGCUAAAUACGUGCCAGCAGCCGCGGUAAUACGUAUGGUGCAAGCGUUAUCCGGCAUUACUGGGUGGAAAGGGAGGGCAGGCGGCACGGUAAGGCUGGUGUUGAAGCCCGCGGCCCAACCGCGGGACUGCCUUGGGAACUACUGGGCUGGAGUGCCGGAGAGGUAGGCGGAAUUCCUAGUGUAGCGGUGAAAUGCGUAGAUAUUAGGAGGAACACCAGUGGCGAAGGCGGCCUACUGGACUGUGACUGACGCUGAGGCUCGAAAGCGUGGGGAGCAAACAGGAUUAGAUACCCUUGUAGUC
rnacentral:rRNA from 1 species